CAGACUGAAUGUGGUCCGUCGCUCCAAUCCCUCACGUAAUCGGGCCGUCUCCGGCUAUAAAUAAACCCCCCCCCGACCGAGCGAAAGCUUCUAACCAGGAACGCAUACCACUCCAUAAUUUGUUGAGCCGUUGUGCUUGUUGCUUCUCGCCAUGUCGACCUGCGGCAACUGCGACUGCGCUGACAAGAGCCAGUGCGUGAAGAAGGGAAACAGCUACGCUAUCGAGACUGUUGAGACCGAGAAGAGGUA